GAUGAAGAACGCAGCGAAAUGCGAUAAGUAGUGUGAAUUGCAGAAUUUAGUGAAUCAUCGAAUCUUUGAACGCACAUUGCGCCCGCUGGAACUCCGGCGGGCACGCCUGUCCGAGCGUCAUUUCAACCCUCAGGCCCCCCUUCGCGGGCGGGCCUGGUGUUGGGGCCCGGCCGCUACCCUGCGGCCGUCCCCUAAAUCCAGUGGCGGCCUCGCCGUGAUCCCUUGCGUAGUAAUGCACCUCGCACCGGAGAGCGCCGUGGCCACGCCGUAAAACCCCCAAUUUUCAAUGGUUGACCUCGGAUCAGGUGGGAAUACCCGCUGAACUUAAGCAUAUCAAUAAGCGGAGGA
rnacentral:misc_RNA from 1 species